rnacentral:tRNA from 1 species
GCGUGGUGCAGUGGUAGCACGCGUGGGUUGGGGACUCGCGAGACGGUGGUUCGAUUCCAUCCUUUCU